rfam:Oryza sativa Japonica Group DNA, chromosome 5, cultivar: Nipponbare, complete sequence.
AAUAAGUGCAGUUUUGCACUAUUCACGUUCAACGUUUCACCGUUCGUCUUAUUUGAAAAUUUUUUAUGAUUAGUAUUUUACUUGCUAUUAGAUGAUAAAACAUGAAUAGUACUUUAUGUGUGACUAAAUAUUUUUAAAUAAGACGGACGGUCAAAUGUUGGGCACGGAUAUCCACGGCUGCACUUAUU